AAGCGAGGGCAGCCUAACAAUGCAAGAUCCUCGGAGAGUGGGGCGACUCGCUCUCAGUGGCAAACGGGUGAAUAACACGUGAAUAACCUGCCUUUGAGAAGGGGAUAACUGUCCGAGAGGAUAGCUAAUACCCUAUAUUGCCUUUUGUCACUAAGGCAGAAGGUGAGAGCGAGGCUGUCAAAGGCUUCGUCUCAAAGAGGGGUUCGCGUCCUAUCAGGUAGUUGGUGGGGUAAUGGCCUACCAAGCCGAUGAAGGGUAGCUGGUCUUAGAGGAUAAUCAGCCACAGUGGGACUGAGAAGCGAGCCGCACCCCUACGGAGGGAAGCAGUGGGGAAUCGUGGGCAAUGAGCGCAAGCCUGACCCCGCAAUGCCGCAUGAGGAGAGAAGCCCUUCGGGGUGUAAACCUCUAUCAGAUGGGAAGAUGGGACUAGGGGCUAAUACCUCCUAGUCUUGACGGAUCCAUCAGAGGAAGGGACGGCCAACUACGUGCCAGCAGCCGCGGUAAU
rnacentral:rRNA from 1 species